UACGUAGGUGGCUAGCGUUGUCCGGAUUUACUGGGCGUAAAGGGAGCGUAGGCGGACUUUUAAGUGAGAUGUGAAAUACCCGGGCUCAACUUGGGUGCUGCAUUUCAAACUGGAAGUCUAGAGUGCAGGAGAGGAGAAUGGAAUUCCUAGUGUAGCGGUGAAAUGCGUAGAUAUUAGGAGGAACACCAGUAGCGAAGGCGGCUCUCUGGACUGUAACUGACGCUGAGGCACGAAAGCGUGGGGAGCAAGCAGGAUUAGAUA
rnacentral:rRNA from 1 species